CCUACGGGAGGCAGCAGUGAGGAAUAUUGGUCAAUGGACGCGAGUCUGAACCAGCCAAGUAGCGUGAAGGAUGACUGCCCUAUGGGUUGUAAACUUCUUUUAUAUGGGAAUAAAACAGGGUAUGCAUACCCUCUUGUAUGUACCAUAUGAAUAAGGAUCGGCUAACUCCGUGCCAGCAGCCGCGGUAAUACGGAGGAUCCGAGCGUUAUCCGGAUUUAUUGGGUUUAAAGGGAGCGUAGGUGGAUUGUUAAGUGAGUUGUGAAAGUUUGCGGCUCAACCGUAGAAUUGCAGUUGAAACUGGCAGGCUUGAGUACAGUAGAGGUGGGCGGAAUUCGUGGUGUAGCGGUGAAAUGCUUAGAUAUCACGAAGAACUCCGAUUGCGAAGGCAGCUCACUGGACUGCAACUGACACUGAUGCUCGAAAGUGUGGGUAUCAAACAGGAUUAGAUACCCCUGUAGUC
rnacentral:rRNA from 1 species